CGAGGCAGGCGGAAUUNNUGGUGUAGCGGUGAAAUGCUUAGAUAUCACGAAGAACCCCGAUUGCGAAGGCAGCCUGCCAGGCCUGGACUGACGUUGAGGCUCGAAGGUGCGGGUAUCGAACAGGAUUAGAUACCCUGGUAGUCCGCACGGUAAACGAUGGAUACUCGCUGUCGGCGAUACACGGUCGGCGGCCAAGCGAAAGCGUUAAGUAUCCCACCUGGGGAGUACGCCGGCAACGGUGAAACUCAAAGGAAUUGACGGGGGCCCGCACAAGCGGAGGAACAUGUGGUUUAAUUCGAUGAUACGCGAGGAACCUUACCCGGGCUUGAACUGUGCCUGACUGCCUCAGAGAUGGGGCUUCCAGCAAUGGCAGGCAUGGAGGUGCUGCAUGGUUGUCGUCAGCUCGUGCCGUGAGGUGUCGGCUUAAGUGCCAUAACGAGCGCAACCCCUCCCGCCAGUUGCCAUCAGGUAAAGCUGGGCACUCUGGGGGCACUGCCACCGCAAGGUGUGAGGAAGGUGGGGAUGACGUCAAAUCAGCACGGCCCUUACGUCCGGGGCUACACACGUGUUACAAUGGGAGGUCACGGAGGGCUGCUACCCGGCGACGGGACGCCAAUCCCCAAACCCUCCCUCAGUACGGACUGGAGUCUGCAACCCGACUCCACGAAGCUGGAUUCGCUAGUAAUCGCGCAUCAGCCAUGGCGCGGUGAAUACGUUCCCGGGCCUUGUACACACCGCCCGUCAAGCCAUGGGAGCCGGGGGUACCUGAAGUCCGUUACCGCGAGGAUCGGCCUAGGGUAAAACUGGUGACUGGGGCUAAGUCGUAACAAGGUAACCA
rnacentral:rRNA from 1 species